rnacentral:rRNA from 1 species
ACCUUUUGGUUCGGAACAACACAGGGAAACUUGUGCUAAUACCGGAUAAGCCCUUACGGGGAAAGAUUUAUCGCCGAAAGAUCGGCCCGCGUCUGAUUAGCUAGUUGGUGAGGUAAUGGCUCACCAAGGCGACGAUCAGUAGCUGGUCUGAGAGGAUGAUCAGCCACAUUGGGACUGAGACACGGCCCAAACUCCUACGGGAGGCAGCAGUGGGGAAUAUUGGACAAUGGGGGCAACCCUGAUCCAGCCAUGCCGCGUGAGUGAUGAAGGCCCUAGGGUUGUAAAGCUCUUUUGUGCGGGAAGAUAAUGACGGUACCGCAAGAAUAAGCCCCGGCUAACUUCGUGCCAGCAGCCGCGGUAAUACGAAGGGGGCUAGCGUUGCUCGGAAUCACUGGGCGUAAAGGGUGCGUAGGCGGGUCUUUAAGUCAGGGGUGAAAUCCUGGAGCUCAACUCCAGAACUGCCUUUGAUACUGAAGAUCUUGAGUUCGGGAGAGGUGAGUGGAACUGCGAGUGUAGAGGUGAAAUUCGUAGAUAUUCGCAAGAACACCA